UACGAAGGGGGCUAGCGUUGCUCGGAAUCACUGGGCGUAAAGGGCGCGUAGGUGGUCUGUCAAGUCGAGGGUGAAAUCUUUCGGCUCAACCGGAAAACUGCCUUCGAUACUGGCAGGCUAGAGGGAGGUAGGGGUUGCGUGAACUACCAGUGGAGCGGUGAAAUGCGUUGAUAUUGGUAGAACGCCGGUGGCGAAAGCGCGCAACUGGACCUCUUCUGACACUGAUGCGCGAAAGCUAGGGGAGCAAACGGG
rnacentral:rRNA from 1 species